AACGAACGCUGGCGGCAUGCCUAACACAUGCAAGUCGAACGAUGCCUUCGGGCAUAGUGGCGCACGGGUGCGUAACGCGUGGGAAUCUGCCUUUCGGUUCGGAAUAACUCAGGGAAAGUUGAGCUAAUACCGGAUAACGUCGCCGGACCAAAGAUUUAUCACCGUUAGAUGAGCCCGCGUUGGAUUAGCUAGUUGGUAAGGUAAAGGCCCACCAAGGCGACGAUCCUUAGCUGGUCUGAGAGGAUGAUCAGCCACACUGGGACUGAGACACGGCCCAGACUUCCACGGGAGGGAGGAGUUGGGAAUAUUUGACAAAUGGCGAAAGGCUGAACCAACCAUUCCGCGGUAGGGAAGAAGGGCUUAGGGUUGGAAAGCCCUUUUACCCGGGAAGAUAAUUGCGAGACCGGGAGGAUAAAGCCCGGCUAAACCCGGU
rnacentral:rRNA from 1 species